rnacentral:rRNA from 1 species
CCUACGGGCGGCAGCAGUGGGGAAUAUUGCACAAUGGGGGAAACCCUGAUGCAGCGACGCCGCGUGAGUGAAGAAGUAUCUCGGUACGUAAAGCCCUAUCAGCAGGGAAGAAAAUGACGGUACCUGACUCAGAAGCCCCGGCUAACUACGUGCCAGCAGCCGCGGUAAUCCGUAGGGGGCAAGCGUUAUCCCGAUUUACUGGGGGUAAAGGGAGCGUUAACGGCAGCACAGGUCUGGAGUGAAAUCCCGGGCCUUAACCCCGGAACUGCUUUGGAAACUGUGCGGCUGGAGUGCAGGAGGGGUAAGCGGAAUUCCUAGUGUAGCGGUGAAAUGCGUAGAUAUUAGGAGGAACACCGGUGGCGAAGGCGGCUUACUGGACUGUAACUGACGUUGAGGCUCGAAAGCGUGGGGAGCAAACAGGAUUAGAUACCCCAGUAGUC